UUUCUGUUCCUUUUGGGGAGCUGGAUAUAAGACCAUUGAUUGGCACUCCAUUUCCUAUAUUGUUUUGUUUUGCAGAGUCAGAUGUAAGACCAUUGAUUGGCUAUCUGUUUCCUGUUCCUUUUGGGGAGCUGGAUAUAAGACCAUUGAUUGGCACUCCAUUUCCUAUAUUGUUUUGUUUUGCGGAGUCAGAUGUAAGACCAUUGAUUGGCUAUAUGUUUCCUAUUUUGUUUCUUUUGUGGAGUCAGACGUAAGACCAUUGAUUGACUAUCUGUUUCCCAUG
rnacentral:lncRNA from 1 species